UGCCUGGGUUGUGGGUUCCAUCCCCAGUGUGGAACGAUAUAGAGAAGAUUAGCAUGGCACCUGUGCAAGGAUGACACACAAACUCGUAAAGCGUUCCAUAUUUUA